UACGUAGGCAGCGAGCGUUGUUCGGAAUUACUGGGCGUAAAGAAUGUGUAGGCGGUGCUCUAAGUUCGGUGUGAAAUCUCCUGGCUCAACUGGGAGGGUGCGCCGGAAACUGGAGUGCUUGAGCGUGGGAGAGGAAAGCGGAAUUCCUGGUGUAGCGGUGAAAUGCGUAGAUAUCAGGAGGAACACCUGUGGUGUAGACGGCUUUCUGGACCAUAGCUGACGCUGAGACACGAAAGCGUGGGUAGCAAACAGG
rnacentral:rRNA from 1 species